UACGUAGGGCGCAAGCGUUGUCCGGAAUCAUUGGGCGUAAAGAGCUCGUAGGUGGUCUGUUACGUCUGCUGUGAAAACCUAGGGCUUAACCCUGGGCCUGCAGUGGAUACGGGCAGACUAGAGGUAGGUAGGGGAGAAUGGAAUUCCCGGUGUAGCGGUGAAAUGCGUAGAUAUUCGGAAGAACACCAGUGGCGAAGGCGACUUACUGGACACAUAUUGACGCUGAGGUGCGAAAGCGUGGGGAGCAAACAGG
rnacentral:rRNA from 1 species